rnacentral:rRNA from 1 species
UAGGAAUCUUGCGCAAUGGGGGAAACCCUGACGCAGCCAUGCCGCGUGAAUGAUGAAGGUCUUAGGAUUGUAAAAUUCUUUCAGCGGGGACGAUAAUGACGGUACCCGCAGAAGAAGCCCCGGCUAACUUCGUGCCAGCAGCCGCGGUAAUACGAAGGGGGCUAGCGUUGCUCGGAAUUACUGGGCGUAAAGGGCGCGUAGGCGGAUGUUUAAGUCAGAGGUGAAAGCCCAGGGCUCAACCUUGGAACUGCCUUUGAUACUGGGCAUCUUGAGUACGGGAGAGGUGAGUGGAACUCCGAGUGUAGAGGUGAAAUUCGUAGAUAUUCGGAAGAACACCAGUGGCGAAGGCGACUCACUGGCCCGUUACUGACGCUGAGGCGCGAAAGCGUGGGGAGCAAAC